ACCCAGCCUCCUGCUACGUAUCGUAAACAGUAGCCACUGACACGGCAGAGACGGCGUUCAAACGUCAUCUUUCGCAUUGCAGGCUGGGAGGAGCAAUUGCCGUGUUAGGAAAUCCCUGCCGGGUUGGAGAAUUUCUUUUUUUUUUUUAAUGCGAGGUCGGUGGCGGCUGCCGGUAAGUGUGGCACGACAUUAAGCCUAUAUAGUUAUAACUUCCCAUACCGGGGUGUACGAGUUCUGCUGUGAUUGUGUGCGUCAUUUCCUCUGCCUAAGCGAUUAUAACCCCAGAAAUUAGCUUGACGGUCACAAAGGACGUUCUUGGUGGAACGCAGAGUUACUGCGCAUGCGUCAUGUGACAGCACGCACUGCACUUGGUUUUUGAUCCGUUUUAAUAAAAUGUAGUUUCCCCCCUCUCAUGUGCGUUAACUAAGCUGUGUGAUUACACUGUAUUAGAUUCCUAACUGUUUCCCUUUUUGUGACGAGCUGACUGUUUGAGUCAAAGACAAAACAGAGUCUAUAUAAAGUGAGACAUGGAUGCAAAAUACGGUCUCAGGUCAAUUCUCAUUGUGCAACACCACGGUGGAGGAGAGGGUGGUGGGUGGUCGCUCCCAUUGGAGAGUUAGGGAAGAAUGGGGAUUUACGAGAGGGGUGUCACUCCAGGAGGUAGGGUAACAUGAUAUUUAGAAUAUAAACAAGGCUGAAAAUUUCCUCACUAGCCAUUGGCCUGUGAAAAUGUUUCCCUGGCGAGUGCCAUGGACGUUCCAAGCUUGCAGUGAUGUGCAAAUUUUAAAGCCUGGCUUGUAGCUUGAACCUGCCAUUUUAACCUUGUAAGGACACAUGACGUGUGACAUAUCAUGAUUCCCUUUUAUUCCAGAAGUUUGGUCCUUAAGGAGUUAAGCCCUUUAGAAAUGUUAUAGGCACAAUAUAUGGAAAUCAAGAGUUAGUUAUUUAGAGUAUGUGGAUAAUUGCAUGUUAAGUUGCAUGUUGAUUUGCUUAUUUUGAUGUAAUGGUAGUACUAUUUCCCAGUUUAGUAGACUAAUAAAGUGUUUAUCUCCUGUAAAAGCCUGAGUUUGACAAUAGGUGGUGCUCCGCUUGCAACAUUUGUCCAAUCUCAGCAGCUGUCACUAGGUUAAUGACAUAUGGAUGUGGGAUUCAGGCUCUGUCUAUGGAGGAUCCGUGGUUUUGGGGAAUUCUUCGUAGACCUCAGUAUUAUACUCUCGCGCAUGCACUGAAUCGCCUGAAGUCAAAGAAGAAUGCAACAUGAAGAUGGUGGUGCCUGCGCAGGACAACCUUAAAUAAAUGAAAGUGGUCUUACACUGGAACUAGAUCGGUUCUGUCCGAUGUUGGGGUAUUUGUGAAAUAUGCAAGGAACCCCCUGAAAGUGACAGAUUCGCUUUAGUAAACUAGAUAUGUUGUACUGCAGAUAUCACUCUCGCAUUGAUGGAGUGUAGGUAGUUCAUAAAUGAUCAGGAUUAUUGUGUUUUUAUAAUUUUAUUAGUUGGAUUGGAUUGUAGCCGUAUUAGUCUGGUGAUGUAGAUGUAAAAAAACAGAUACAAUUUGUAUCUUUAUCUGUUUUUUUUUGUUUUGUUUUUGUGUGUGUGUGUGUGUAUAUAUCUACCUCUUCCUUAUCAAGGAAGAUUAUAUAUGUGUGUAUGUAUAUACACUGUUAUUUACGAUUGUGUGAAUUCUUGGAAAAUUUGGAGAAGUUUACAAAAUUGGCUACUUCAGCUUAGAAUUUGAAAUUUACAGAGCAUAGCCUGGAAUUCAAAGUGAAUUCAAAGGUUAGGCCAAAAUAGUAGAUUUAGAAAAAAAAUUCCAAGUCAAUUUAGUUCAGUUUGGCUAUUUUGACCUUCCAUUUGACAUUCACUUUGAAUUCACAGCAAUUUUCAUUUUUGUGAUUAACCCUAUUCAAGUUCAUGUCUGUUCACAUGUUAGAAUCUGCAUCUAGAGUUAAACAAGGUAUUUAAUAAAAGUGAAUAAUGGUAAUUAAUAUUUUGUCUAUAAUACUAUUCUUAUGGUAUUACUGGAAAACCAGUUAAGUAAGGAUGAUAUCAUAGUACCUCCCAGAACUCCUUUGUAAUACUAGACCUGUGUCAGAAAUGCAGCUGCUCCCUCGCGCUGUCUAAUGAUGUCGGGAGCCGGAGUAUGAUGUCAUUCUGGCCCCGGCAUCAUUACAGAGCGCUAGGCAGAAGAGCUGCAAACGGAGUACUGCUCCUUCGCACACAGGAAGAGAGAACCCCCACUGGACCCCAGGAAAGACCCACUCAGCUCUCCCAAAGGUAGGGAGGCUGAGUGGGUUUCAAUUAAAACAAAAAUGUGUUCUGUCAAGAGUGUGUGCCUGUCAGAGGGUGUGUGUGUUUGUGAGAGCCUGUCUGUUUGUGCAUGUAAGCCAGAGCCUGUCAACAGUUUGUGUGUGCGAGCCUGUUGUCAGCAUGAGUGUGUGUGAGAGCCUGUCAGUGUGUGUGUGCACGUUUAGGUACCUGCCCCCUCCGAUCGCAUGAGGAACGUGUUUUUACUCACCUUUCUUCCCAUUUUCCCACGCCGUGCCAGUUUCGCUAUGGCCGAGAUAAGUCUUUAUGAUCUCUGCUAAGGCAAUGCUUUCCCUUAGAAAAGCAUUGGGAGGAUUUUGUGCAUGCGCAGCAAAUGUACCAAUCUGCAUCUCCUCAUAGAGAUACAUUACAUUAAUCAAUCAAUCUCUAUGAGGAACAUUCAGCGCCUCCAUGCAGAGCUUGGAGACACUGAACCUGGGUGCUGCACGUGGUGCAGCAGUGACCCAGGAUUCUCUAGUGGCCAUCUGAGUGACUGUCACUAGAGGUGUUACUAAGCAGCAAUAUAAACUCUGCCGUUUCGCGUAAAAGGCAAUGUUUACACUGAAACACCUACAGGGACAGGCUAUAGACACCAGAACAACUACAUCAAGCUGUAGAGGUUCUGGUGACUAUAGUGUCCCUUUAAGAAAUGCACUUUCUUGUUGAAAAUGACUGGCUCAUAACUUUUUUAGCUGGCUCCUAUAUUCCAAACAAAUUUGUCAAGCCCUGCCCCCACCCUCAGGGACCCCCUCCCGCCUGGCUCUGGAAAGGGGAAAGGGGUUAAAAGUUACCUUUUUCCAGCGCUGUGCGGGGAGCUCUCCUCCGAUCCUCCUCUUCUCCUCCCCGUCGGCUGAAUGCGCACGCGCGGCAAGAGCUACGCGCCCAUUCAGCCGGUCACAUAGGAAAGCAUUCAUAAUGCUUUCCUAUGGACGCUGGCGUGCUCUCACUGUGAAAAUCACAGUGAGAAGCACGCAAGCGCCUCUAGUGGCUGUCAAUGAGACAGCCACUAGAGGAAAUAGGGGAAGGCUUAACCCAUUCACAAACAUAGCAGUUUCUCUGAAACUGCUAUGUUUAUGAAAAAAUGGGUUAACCCUAGAAGGACCUGGCACCCAGACCACUUCAUUAAGCUGAAGUGGUCUGGGUGCCUAGAGUGGUCCUUUAAGUUUAUCCCAAAUAAAUAGGGAGUUUAAAAUUGCUGGACAGGUUGUUUGUAAGACCGGCCUCGAAACCUUGUUUAGCCACAUAUGCAAUGCAGGUGAGUCUGGAUUCAUCAAGUCCGUCUCCAUAUCUAUCAGGUGUCAACUAUAUUACAGGAAAAUAUUGAGCUAACUACUUUUUUUUUUUUGGGGGGGUGUGUUUUAUUUAAAAUAUAAAUGUAGAGGAUUGUUGGUAUGACUUCUUAAAUGAAUGCAAUGGAUUAUGCAAUUUUGAUUGUAUACAGUGCUUAUUCCUCAAUAUUAAAUAAAGAUUUACAAAAAAAAACAAUUUUCUCACAAAUAUAAUAGCACCCCCAUGUACUGAUUUUUUUUUAUUUAUUUUUUUUUGGUGUAGUCAUAGGGCCAUAAAUGACAUGCCUAUUUCAAUCUUGUAAAUGUGAGUUAUUUUCUGGGCCUAUGUUGCUUUUGAGUGAACGUGGCUAAUAAAGAAAACUACCUCUAUAAUGGCAUACUAUUUUAGCAAGUAUUCUAAAUGUAGUAUUUUGAGAUGUUGGUGUAGCCACGUUAUAGUGGCUGGGCUUAACAUAAACAGGUCAAGGUCGGGUGGCUUCAGAAGAUAGAGUAGUUUGGUAUAACAAAUAAAUAAAUACGUUGGUACAUCGUUUCGGUGUUCAGUUCCCUUACCUGCAUUUAAAAAGGGGAUUUUACUCCCCCUUUUCCAGCAUUUGUUCAUAGAGCUGGAUUGAUUUUAAUGCAUCUCAAUGGGGACCGUUAAGUGCCUCCAUGCUGAUGCGUGGAGAUGCCGAAUGUCAGUGCUGCUCUGAAAAGGCAGUGUUUACAUUAAAAAGUCUCCAGGGACAGACUAUAGAUACCAGAAAAACUACAUUAAGCUUUAGUUGUUUUGGUGACUAUAGUGUCCCUUUAACUGUGGAGUGGUCCUUUUAAUAGUGGCAGCUGAACUACCAGCUGCCCAAGACUUUAACCUCCACUAAUCUUGGUUAAAGGGACAAUAUUACUGUUUGGGCAGCAUUAAUGCGUACAUUUCCUUGCGCUGCCCUAACAGUAAUAUUGUCCCUUCAAUUAAAACCGUUCACCAGAACUCCAACCCUAGCACACAAACCAUAACAACAAAUCUUAAAGAUAAAUAAUAGUAAAGAGUGCAUAGAUGAAAAUCUAGAGCCCCUCAGUAACACAUAAUACAUGUUUCACAAUUCUGUAUCCUUUCUAUAAAUAACUUCAGCCAGUAAAUAUAUGCAUAAUGGAAUGUUUGGACGGCUUUAAUAUCUGUUUCUUUCCCCCCAUUUCUGCAGAAGUCAAGAGGAUGUUAAGUGCACGUCUGAUUUAUAAUGCUGCCAAGCAAUCAGGUU